AAAAAGAUAAGCUAAAUUUAAGCUAUUGGGCCCAUAACUCAAUUAUGAUUUUUAUAAUCUCUUUUUA
rnacentral:tRNA from 1 species